rnacentral:rRNA from 1 species
CGGUGUUCAACUGGCGUGCCCGCGGGACGUCCUGCCGGUGAGCUCAGCCCGCGAGGGCGGCUCAACUUGAAAUCCCAUCGCGGUGCUCUUCAUUGAGUGUCGAGGUGGGCCGGCACGAUUACUUUUGAACAAAUUAGAGUGCUUAAAGCAGGCUAAAAUUUUGCCUGAAUACUGUGUAUAUGGAAUAAUGGAAUAGGACCUCGGUUCUAUUUUGUUGGUUUUCGGAACCCCGAGGUAAUGAUUAAUAGGAACGGAUGGGGGCAUUCGUAUUGCGACGUUAGAGGUGAAAUUCUUGGAUCGUCGCAAGACGGACUAAAGCGAAAAGCAUUUGCCAAAAACGCUUUCAUUGAUCAAGAACGAAAGUUAGAGGUUCGAAGGCGAUCAGAUACCGCCCUAGUUCUAACCAUAAACUAUGCCAGCUAGCGAUCCGCCGACGUCCCUCUGAUGACUCGGCGGGCAGCUUCCGGGAAACCAAAGCUUUUGGGUUCCGGGGGAAGUAUGGUUGCAAAGCUGAAACUUAAAGGAAUUGACGGAAGGGCACCACCAGGAGUGGAGCCUGCGGCUUAAUUUGACUCAACACGGGAAACCUCACCAGGCCCAGACACUGGAAGGAUUGACAGAUUGAGAGCUCUUUCUUGAUUCAGUGGGUGGUGGUGCAUGGCCGUUCUUAGUCGGUGGAGCGAUUUGUCAGGUUAAUUCCGAUAACGGACGAGACUCUGACCUGAUAACUAGACGCACUUGCGGCAUCUCAAAGGUCCGCCGGCGGCUGGCUUUGCGCCCGUCGUCGCGCGCGAUUUUUACUGCCGGCGUACAAUAAAUUCUUCUUAGAGGGACAAGUGG